rnacentral:rRNA from 1 species
GAUGAACGCUGGCGGCGUGCCUAAUACAUGCAAGUCGAGCGAACGGACGAGAAGCUUGCUUCUCUGAUGUUAGCGGCGGACGGGUGAGUAACACGUGGAUAACCUACCUAUAAGACUGGGAUCACUUCGGGAAACCGGAGCUAAUACCGGAUAAUAUUUUGAACCGCAUGGUUCAAAAGUGAAAGACGGUCUUGCUGUCACUUAUAGAUGGAUCCGCGCUGCAUUAGCUAGUUGGUAAGGUAACGGCUUACCAAGGCAACGAUGCAUAGCCGACCUGAGAGGGUGAUCGGCCACACUGGAACGGAGACACGGUCCAGACUCCUACGGGAGGCAGCAGUAGGGAAUCGUGCGCAAUGGGCGAAAGCCUGACGGAGCAACGCCGCGUGAGUGAUGAAGGUCUUCGGAUCGUAAAACUCUGUUAUUAGGGAAGAACAUAUGUGUAAGUAACUGUGCACAUCUUGACGGUAACUAAUCAGAAAGCCACGGCUAACUACGUG